rnacentral:lncRNA from 1 species
AUGGUGACAGGGUCUAACAUGACUGCACAAAGAACUGGCCACAUACAUGUUUUGGAACUCUUGUACAGUGGUGGCAGUACCAACGAUGUUUCGUCCAGCAUUAAAUUACUGCAGAAGAAGAAUACCGCCAACGUGACGCGGAUAUUAUAUCUUAAUGGAGGAAUAAACCUGAAACAGCACUUCCAAGAACUUCUUGAUUGUCGUUUAUGGAUUCCUCAUGAAAUUUGGGAUUGUCGGUUUGGAUGGACCAGGAGUUGGUGUCACUGGAAAAACUCUCAUGGUGGCCCGCUGAUGACUGAGGAUAGAUGUGCCUUGCUGCUUUUCGAAAAGGGAGUACCUUUUACAAAGGUGUCACCAUGA